GGGCAGCAGGCCAGGGUUAGCCAAUUCAACAGGCGAGUGCAUUGCUGCAGGAGGGGUUACCAUCCAUAUUUGACCCGCAAAGUAAAAACGAGGGCCGACUCCAGCCCAGAAAUGAUGAAUCUGAGCUUAUGGCCGCGUCCCAACAAAUCGACCGAGUGUUAAAGGCUCAAGAGACGGCACUCCUCCCCCCCUUCCCGUGCUGAACUUCUUGGAAGGUUCUCAGCUCCCAAGGAGGCCCGAAAGCAGAAACUAGGGUGAAAAUAUCCAACUGCAGAGCUGUCUCUGGACACAUGGCCCCUGGGGUCCAGCAGGGGAACCCAGAACAGGGCCAGGAAGAGCGGGACGAGCGGCAGCGCUGCCGUGGGUGGCAGGACCGGCCCAUUACGGCUGUCCUGCUCAUAUUUUUAGAAUCUCCCUGGUAAAGAUCUGAGUCGGCUCCCGCGGAAACUCCAAAAAAAGCCUGUAAAAUCAGGCUAAUUCGAUGCUUGAGAUUCGUGUGCGAAAGUCCGUGCAUUUUCCAGGACAGGUAAGUAUGCUGUGAGAAAUGAAGGUAAGAUUAUAUGUAUGUCAUCUGUCUUUUAAAUCACUUUAAAAGUAAAAGAUAUGUUUAUAGCCUCAUGCUAAGCAUUUAAGGAAAAGCUUCAAACGUAACUUCAAACAUAAAUAUCUUCUUAUAAUACAAUACCUGCCUUUAAAAACAUGUAAUAUAGAACAAUGAAAUUGUACAGUGCUUGAGAGAAAAAAAAACAAGCUAAUUGCAAUAAUGAAUCAUCUGUAUCAUAUUGUAUGAUAUUGUAUUAUAAUGAUGUUCACAUUUAUAUGCUUAUUAUGGCACUGAUAAGUUGCUAUGCUUUGCUAAUGUAAAAGACAAUACAACUCAUUGCCUAUGAAAAUCUUAGAAUGAAUGGUAAGAAUAAUUCAACGCAGAUUUAAACAGUCCCCAGACUAAACAGACUGUGGUAAUAAAUGACCAGGAAGAUUAACAGAUUCUGAAUGUCGUCAGCUGUACUUUGCAUUGAUGAAAGGUUGCUUUACUUCAAUACAGGCAAAUUCAUAGACAGCCUUUUUAGGUCCCUAAAGGACCCUGUUUGGCAGAUUAAACAUCUGUAAAGCUCAUCUGUUUUCAGAAUAGAUUUGCUUUACACUUCAUAUAUUAGCCAAACCUGAGGGUUAAGUUAAAACUUAUUAGUUCUGACUGACAUCGGCAAAGGUGAGUAUUUCACAAAUAUUUUCAUGUACUUCCCUGAAAGGUUUCAUGUGUUUACAAUUGCUUUCUUCAUGUAUAUUUAUUUUCAAUAAAUAUUGAUCGAAAAUU